CUUGGGGGGCAGGGUCCCUCAGUCCGGAUUGCGAGAGGGUGCAGGCCAGGCUGAGAGACCCCACUUGUGCAUG
rnacentral:pre_miRNA from 1 species